rnacentral:rRNA from 1 species
UAGGGAAUCUUCGGCAAUGGGGGCAACCCUGACCGAGCAACGCCGCGUGAGUGAAGAGGGUUUUCGGAUCGUAAAGCUCUGUUGUAAGAGAAGAACGUGUGUGAGAGUGGAAAGUUCACACAGUGACGGUAACUUACCAGAAAGGGACGGCUAACUACGUGCCAGCAGCCGCGGUAAUACGUAGGUCCCGAGCGUUGUCCGGAUUUAUUGGGCGUAAAGCGAGCGCAGGCGGUUUAAUAAGUCUGAAGUUAAAGGCAGUGGCUUAACCAUUGUUCGCUUUGGAAACUGUUAAACUUGAGUGCAGAAGGGGAGAGUGGAAUUCCAUGUGUAGCGGUGAAAUGCGUAGAUAUAUGGAGGAACACCGGUGGCGAAAGCGGCUCUCUGGUCUGUAACUGACGCUGAGGCUCGAAAGCGUGGGGAGCAAACAGG